rnacentral:misc_RNA from 1 species
AAUUGCCCAAGCAGCCUCUUUCUUUAUCUCAAAUUCAGCAUUUUGUAGCAGAUAUACAAGAGGGGCAAUAAUGCCAGCCUCGAUCACAAUCUGAAUUUGAUUUCUAUUACCAGCUGUAAUGUUCGAGAUUGUCCAACAAGCUUCCUUUUUAAUGCUUUUUUUGUAAUUUUGCGUCAACAGGUUAACAAGGCAGGGAAGAGCAUGAUGGUCAAUCAUAACCUGAGUUUGGAUAUCGUCUCCUGUGACUAUGUUACCAACAGUGCGCAAGGCAGGAAUGAGAACAGAUGGUGAAGAAUGAAGUAGCAGCUCAACAAGGCGGGAACACACUCCAGCUUCAAUAACAGCCUGGAUUUUGUCAUUAGUUCCAUCAGAAAGAUAUGAAAGAGCCCAGCAUGCAUCUGUCAAGACUUCUUCAUCAUUUGAGUGGAUAAGGCGACCAAGAGUGGGGAGUGCCGCUUUUGUCUGCUCGAACAGUGGCUG